GUUUUCAGAUUCAUCACUUGACAACUUCCUGUUUACCGAACACUUGUAUGAUUUUACACAUGAUAGCCAAGUUGAAAAUUUUCGUCACAUUUUUCUCAGGAACUACAAUACAAGGAUUUCUGAAAUUUUGUUUCAGGAUUUAUAUAAGUCAGCUUUACCGUGUGAUGCGAUUUCAGAUUCAUCACUUGACAACUUCCUGUUUACCGAACACUUGUAUGAUUUUACACAUGAUAGCCAAGUUGAAAAUUUUCGUCACAGUUUUCUCAGGAACUACAAUACAAGGAUUUCUGAAAUUUGGUUUCAGCAUUUAUAUAAGUCAGCUAUACCGUGUGAUGUGUUUUCAGAUUCAUCACUCGACAACUUCCUGUUUACCGAACACUGGUAUGAUUUUACACAUGAUAGCCAAGUUGAAAAUUUUCGUCACAUUUUUCCCAGGAA
rnacentral:lncRNA from 1 species